ACCCGCGGUGCCACCGCCAGCCCCCAACUUAGAGCUCUGCCAAGGUCUCGGCGUCUCACGGGCUGCUCCUGCUGGUUGUCUGAGAGGAGCUGGCAAAGUGAUGAAGGGGCAGAGUAUCUCCUCAACAAGUUUUCUGAUGCCACAAAGCCGGGAGGAGUGGCCGAUACCCCAGAGGGCUGUGCAGCCCUUCAGAAGGACCUCGGCAGCUUGAAGAGAGGGUCAGAGAACUAUCUGGCAUUCAACAAAGGCAACUGCAGGGUCCUGUACCUGGGGAGGAAUAACCCUGGGCACCAGCACAGGCUGGGGCUGACCUGCUGCGGAGCAGCUCUGAGGAGAAGGACCUGGGGGUCCUGGUGGACAUCGAGCUGUCCCUGACCAGCAGUGUGUCCUUGGGGCCAAGGCCAGUGGUGUCCAGGGAUGCCUAAGGAAGAGCGUUGCCAGCAGCUCGAGGGAGGUGAUCCUGCCCCUCUGCUCAGCUCUGGUGAGGUCCCACCUGGAGUGUGCAGUUCUGGGCUCCCCAGCCCAAGAGAUGUUAAUCUCCUGGAGAGGGUCCAGCAGAGGGUGACAAAGAGGAUAAGGUGACUGGAGCAUCUCAACAGAGAGAGCUGGGCCUGUUCUGCCUUGAGAAGACAUGGCUAGGAGGGGACCUUAUUAAUGUGUAUAAAUAUCCAAAGCAGGGGUGCAGAGGGGUUGGGUUCAGACACCUCUCAGAUAUGAGGCAAGAAACUGAUGCGCUGGAAGCUCCACCUGAAUAUGAGGAAGAGUGUUUUUACUGUGCAGGUGACCACACAGACUGGAAUAGAUUGCCCAGAGAGGUUAUAGAGUCUCCCUCAUUGGAGAUAUACAGGAACCAUCUGGAUUCACUCCUGUGCCAUGUGCUCUAGGACAACCCUUCCUAAGCAGAGAGGUUGGAUCAGAUGACGCACUGUAAUCCCUUCCACACAAUUUAUCCAUUCUGUGGUUCUGUGAAAGUGAGCUGGUUCCAUCUGCUAAAUGUUGUUAAAAGGAGAACACUAAAUGCUCUUUCUACACAAUGGCUAUAGUUACCACCAGGGAUAUGGGAUUGCAAAUGAUAGGAUGAAAGAGGAGGUGGAGGCAGUAACUUACAGAAGGAUAAUCCCCUUACGAUGUGUGCCAAUCUGUUUGCAGCCCCUUUUUUUUUUUACUGGAAGACAUACACUGGGAUUUUGUGGUUAUCAGCCUUCAGAGACACCCUUUGUGGCUCCCUAUGUGCACUUAUCACUGGGAUUUAGGUGGUUGAUCAUUGGCCCAUAUAGUUUUUUCUUUAGUAUUUUUACACAAGAUUCCCUACUUCUACUGCACUGAUUUUUCCUCAUGUGGCUACACUUUACUUCUAUGAAUCCAUUUCACAUUCUGCUGCUUCCUUUACCAGCAGAGACACUCUAGAUUUAUGACAGGUUAUUAUUACAAAUUUUUCAACAUUAAUGCUGUGGAAAUGAGGUUGUACUAAAGAUGAUACAGUGGUUUGAAGGGAAGGCUUGAAAAUGCAGACAAGAGUAAAAUAGGGUAAGUGAAGGAAUGGGCUUGCUUUCUGACUUUUGGAAGCUUGUGGAGAGGACACAGAGAUAAGAAAGGGCUGGGGAGAAGCAAAAGCUGAGAUGUGGUGAGAGAAAUCUGGUACGUUUCAACACAAUUAUGUUUAGAAUGAUAUUUUGAUAAUAACAAUCAUCUGGCAAGACCCUGUAUUACUCUUCUAAGUAUAUCAGAAGGCUUUAGCUUUCAGAUGUAGACACUGAAAUAUAUUUUCACAAGCCUUAAAAUGAGAUUCUGUACUUAAGAAGACAUUGAAAGUUCUUGAGGGAAUGUCCACUUUUGUAGGGUAGUAUUCUGUUUCCUGCCCAUUUGUUGAUGAAGUUAGAAAAUAUGUUUUUGGAAAGCCAAAGUGGACAAAAUGUCAUGUUUUAAACUGGAGUAAAACAUUCAACAUAACACAGCGGAAGCAGAUGUCAAAGUAUGAAUAAAUCUGUAAAUUAUGGAAAUAGCUUUUAGGGAGGGGAAAAGAAAUUUAAAACCCUGUGUUAUGGAUAGCAGCAAGAUUUUUGGCGAAGAACUGAAGGGCUGAAUUAAGAAGACUGAUCGCAGAGCAAGAGACAUGGAACAAAGAGGACUUUUAAAACAUUUUGAAUGCCUUUGAAGCAUUCCUUAGUGAUGGUGUAGCCAUCUGUUGAUUGACAUGUUGAAGACAGGUGGCAAGAACGGGAUCAGAGUAUGACUUGACAGCCUUGUAGAGUUGGAUAUCAUCUGCAAAGAGAUGAUGCCCUUUGUUGAAACUGGCAAUGAGAUCUCCCAGAUGAACAUGAGAAAUAAGAAAGAAAUAAAUGAAAAAAAACCCCUCUAAGAGAUGCACACAGUCAUAGUGUUCUCUCAUGCAUGCUAGUAUAGAUUCAAAGCAAUUGUAACUCUGACUUCAUUACACUGUGUCAUGGAUAACAUUAAUGUGAGAGAGGAAUCAAUUCCAUGUGCCUUCUGUUGUGCAAAAGACACUUUGGGAAUCCUCCCGAGGUUGUACCAGUACUGGCAACUGAGACAGAUGUUUUGGACAUGUUUCUGGGUGAAUCAGGUUUACUCAGCAGUGUAUCUACUGGUAGGGAUGUGUGUUUAUAGAGAAACAGGGGCUCAAACUUGGCCAAAAGUGGAGAAAUACCUAAACGGAACCUUUUUGUUCAGAUCUUCCACCAAGAAUUGAAACUUGAAAUCCUUUUCGACUUCUAUUUCCUUGUUGUUGCUUGACAUGGGGCCUUGGCCUGAGCGAUGUUUACAGCAGUCCAGAUGUGAAGGCUGGUUCCGCAUUAAGUCACCCUGAUCUUCUAAUCCCAGCCUGUCACAGGAACAAGAAUUUCAUCUACAGUUGCUGUAUUUUUCAAAGUGAAGGAAAAAGGACAUUACAUAGGUAGGAUUAUUCAGUCUAGUUCUGUUUGAAUCUACUGAACUUCCUUCUAUUUGACAAAAUGUAAAAUUAAUGUUUUUAGAAUCUGGGGACUUCAAUAAUCUAAGAAAAUUAAAAAAUAAAAGGAGUUUUACUGAAUUGAAAUAGGUUGUUAGAAGGAAAUCAGCCUCUGGUAAAGGGAAGGGAAGAAAAAUGAUAAAGAGAAAUCACAUUGACAGAAACUUCAAACAUUAUGGAAACAAGUAGGUCAAAAGAGUUGUUCAAAACAAUAUACCUUUGGAGUAUAUAUUAUCAAAAGCACCACUAAUUCUUUAGGCAGAAAGACACCUGAGAUCAAACAAAUGCUAAUUUGUAGCUAUCUAUUAAACAGCUACUUGGGUGAU